CGGCAGGCCUAAUACAUGCAAGUCGAACGGUAGAUCGGGUAGCAAUACUUGAUUGAGAGUGACGUAAGGGUGCGUAACACGUAUGCAAUCUACCCUCAACAGGAGUAUAGCUCGGGGAAACUCGGAUUAACACUCCAUAACAUUACGAUGUGGCAUCACAUUGUGAUUAAAACUCCGGUGGUUGAGGAUGAGCAUGCGUCUGAUUAGUUAGUUGGAGGUGUAACGGACCCCCAAGACGAUGAUCAGUAGGGGAACUGAGAGGUUGAUCCCCCACACUGGCACUGAGAUACGGGCCAGACUCCUACGGGAGGCAGCAGUAGGGAAUAUUGGUCAAUGGGUGAGAGCCUGAACCAGCCAUGCCGCGUGCAGGAAGACGGCCUUCUGGGUUGUAAACUGCUUUUAUCUGGGGAUAAAAAGCCCAUGCGUGGGACAUUGAAGGUACCAGAUGAAUAAGCACCGGCUAACUACGUG
rnacentral:rRNA from 1 species